GGUUCUGGUACAGAAACGUCCAGUAGAUUUUAAAAGUUAGAGAGCCAUGGCUUUGAUUUCAUUCCUUGGCUCUUUUGCUCUUGUGAUCUAGCCUAUCUUUGAAAACCAAGUCACUGAGGUCUACACACGCUUCUCACAAGCAGCUCAGAAUAGACAAUAAUUUUAGAUCAGGGCUAUGUGCAGAAGAAAGCGUGAACGGAAAUGGGUGUUAUCAGGGCAAAGCAAACCCCAGAUGCCUUAACAACAUGGCAAAGAUGGAUUCUUGCCUCUUCCGUGAGCUGCGUUUCAGUAUCCAUGAGCAUCUGACUCUCAAUUACAUAUGAGAGCUCUGCCUUUUAGUUUCAGUUGUCCCGAGUCUGCUAAACAAAGCAUUUCUUCCCCAGUGCCCGUGUUGCCUGGCUGUGAGCUGGAGGCUCUCUCUGCCUGGGUCUGGGAAGUUGCUCUUUCCGGAAGGGUGGUGGAGACCCUGGGAAUCGGACCAGCCCGGCUCACAAGUAUGAAGAGAAUGUCGGGAGAGGAAGUGGUGGUUCUGAGUCAGCAUGAGUCAUCUGGUUCCAGUGGCAAUGAAGGCUGAGGUGUGCGCCUUUUUCUUUUUCUUGUCUUUUUUUUUUUUUUUCUUAAUCAUGUGGACAACUCUGAGAAUGGAGGGGACUCAGUGACUUUACAGUGGCUGCUUUCUAAGUUUCAAAGUGACUUUCCAGGCAAGCUGCGCACAUCUUGGGAUCUUCACAGCCCAGUGGCUGGGAGUGGAGCCAUGCAUCAGCUUCUCCCCGAAUAACUGGGAGCUGAAACAGGAAGCCCCAUGACACAGUUGAUCGAAAAUGACACAGACACAGAAAAAUCAGGACGUGCCCCCAGCACCUCUACCUGCUGCCUGCUGAUCGCAGCGAGAAGGCAGGUGAAGGGUUUUCCCGGGAAUGGACUCUGGCUACGGAGGACUCUGGUUUCAGGAUCCACAGCGUCACAGGCAGAAGAAAGGACGAAAGGCCUGGGAUCUCUCACUGAAUCAGCCUUGGAUAUGCUCUGAACACUGUCCCCACAUGGCAGACACAGGCAGAGGCCAGUGAGAAGUCUUUUGCCUGCAUGUAUGUCUGUGUAGCACAUACACUCCUGGUGCCUGCUGAGACCAGAAUGGCUUUGAAAAGAGUCACACACCACAGCAAUACAGGGUGUUAUUCCUAGAUCAUCAUGUGUGCCACUUCCCUGGGAAGCACUGGUGGGCCUCUCUCCUCCUCGUGUUGCAUCUGGAGUGUCUGCUGGAGGGACAGGGUCUGAUCUCUACUGUUUCAAACAUACCCAACCAUCUCAUGGCUGGCUUUCAUGCAGGGGUCACUUGGCCAGUUUGAUUUUCCCAGCCAGCCCGCCCAGCUGCUCGAAAGAGGAGAGAAAAAUCUACCUGGAGUUUUUUGUUCCAGCAGCCGGGCUUGGCCCCAGUUAGUGAACUUGUAGAAUCCAGCUUCUGGGACUGGGUUCUAGCCAGGUGAAGCAGCCGGAGGCAGCUGGGGAGGAUUCCAGGCACACACCUGUGACUCAGGUUUCCCCCUUGCAGCGGCUCUUUCCUGGCUGCUGCUUUCCGAGUACCUCCAUCCUGCAAGAUUGACAGCUCCCUUUUGGUUGGAAUCAGAGUGUAGGAAGCGGUCUUUUCAAACUUCCUGUGCAACCCAGCCUGCCAAAAGCCCUGCUACUGGUUGCCUUGUUUACCCUGGCCACCAGGCCUUUCUCUGCACCCUAAGAAAACAGAUUGCUGUCCGGAGAAAAAUCCAUGCAUGUUUCCUUUCUGGAGGCUGACCAAGUUCAGAAAGAAAGGCUUCCUGCAGUCCAUGACCACCGUUUGGGUUUAUUUUAUCUGUCUCCACCUGCAGAGCAGGGAAUUAGCCUGCAGCCCAGGGCCAGGCCAGCCGAUGACCACAGGGAAAGCGGAGCUAGUGGGUGUGAGCUCUCCACGGCACACUGGCACACCGUGGCCUUAUUCUCUUUAGCCAGGCAUUGUGCGCUGAGGCCCAAGCCCAAAUCUGAAUAGGAUUCUGUGUAACUUGAUCUGUUUUCUUUCUUCCCUGUAUUCCUGUGAGCCAAAUUUAACUUCGCUCCAAUCUGUGGCCUGUACAUAUAACAUUCUGUGUGAGGGCGGGGGUGGACGGGAGUUGGGGGUGGGGAGAGGGUGUAUAUCCUUGCGGUUUUCUUUUUCCUAUCUUCCCCUUUUUUUACAGUUUUUUCUUUUGCUUGUCUGCGUUGCUCACCCACUGAUCACCCUUUGCCAUAUAUAACUUAAUAUGACUGUCUUGUCCCCAGCCAUUAACCCUUUAGAGAAAGCUAGUGUCUCUCACAAGUAAAUCGCUAAGUUCCCCCGCCCCCACUCCCAGUGCCCUGUUGGCGCUGUUAGAGUUAACAGUUGGCUUCUGGGAAAUGUGAACUUCCCUAGAAGUGCUUGUACAGCCAUUAGUAGGGCCCCACUCAGAUGCAUAAAAAUAGCCCAUUUGCUUGCAAACAAGCAGUCAAGGAACUGCGGUCCCACGAGUCACCUGACCAGUAGUGGGUGCCUCCUCUUCUAAAGGAUUGGGUCCUGAACUUCCCGGAAAUACCACCAAAAUCGAUGUAGGGAGGUUCUCAGGGCAGACAGAAAUCCUGUGUCCUGUUCAAACCCCUCCAUGUGUGGCUAGCUCAGGCCUAGGCAGAGGCCGAACCCCUCAGGAUCCAUAGACAAGCCCUGCUGCUAGCCUGUGUGUAUGGGGGCAGGGUGGUGGUGGGGUGGCGGCUGGGUCUUUCUAGUUAACCGGCACCUGUGUUUCCUUUGAUGGUGGGAGAAGGCAGGCUGACUACAGAGGAUUGUCAAAGGGAGCUUCCCUUAUCUCCCGGGGCAAGUUGUUCUUUCUAUGAAGGGUUGACUCUCGGUCCUCAGGUGGUUGUGUCUGGGGGAUCACCGGAUGGGCAUAAUGCCUUCAUUGUCCAGUGCCUUCAGAAAUCACAAAAAUUCUGGGAAAACAACAGCACAGAGCCAUGGGACUCCUCAGGAGGGGAAGACGGCUUGGGUCAUCGCGGGCUAUUUUUAGAAUGGAAAAUGUGCUGCCUCAGAGAAAAGGAGUCAUGUGCCCCAGCCCAAGUAGGGCACAGUGAACCCUGCCCCACGAGGCCAGCUGUCCACCUUCACCCUGCCUUGGCAUCACUUCUUCAGGAAACCCUCCCAGCCGGUGGAAAGAGCACACAGGCGAGGCCCGGCUUCCCUAAACCUCACCAGCACCUCCCUACAUGGAAAACUGUGAGAACUGAGGUGGUCCUGUGUGGGCCCAUAUCUCAUACAAAAUAUUUACAGGCAGGCUCACUGGCCACUAGGCAGCUGCAAUCCUGACAAACAAGCACGAUAGCCACCUGACAAAGGCCAGGAUGUAUGGCUCCUUUGCCUUUGUUAAAAGGUAGAUCGCCUGGGGAGAGGUGUUGUUUCCAAAGCUGGUGACUGAAGUUGCAGGUGUUUCCCUAGCCCCGUGUCCCCCGGAAAGAGAAUAUUAAUGAGGAUCCACCUUGGUUUACCUGGGGGAUAAAGGGUGUUUUGGAUAAUAAAUGGGGGUAGAUCUUCAGGAU